CAGAGGACCGGUGGGCGUGGGGGAGUCAUCUGAAGGUUGAUGUGGCUUCUCUCUCCCACGGGACGACAGAGUUUGGGUGCGAGUUUUGCCGUGGGGGUCGCCGUUGCCGUCGUCUUCUAUUUCCACGAGGAUUUGAGCGUCAUCCUCGCUGUUGUGUUAAUGGUGGCGGCUUAUUUCUUCCUCCCGAGGUUACGGGAUGACGAGUGACCGGAGCUGGCGGCCCAGCGAAGACAUCGGCCCCCGACCCUCCGCCCCCCUGGACCCGGCCUCCCCGUGAUUUCGCUCAAUACAGGGGAGGGAAUGUCUCCCCUUUCUUCUGUUACCAGGGCCGGACCGACUCUUCCGUGGGCUCGGGGCUCCUGGAUUUGGUAGGGUCCUCGUACACCAGUGUUUUUCCCAACAAAGCGACAUCAUCAUAAUUGCGACAUUACCCUCAACGUUUCUCUGAUUU